rnacentral:rRNA from 1 species
AAUGAACGUUGGCAGCGUGGAUUAGGCAUGCAAGUCGAGCGACAAGGUCCUCGGACGUGGAGGAGCGGCGAAACGGGUAGGUAAUACAUCGGAACGUACCCUCACGUCUGGGAUAGCCACGGGAAACUGUGGGUAAUACUGGAUAAUCUCACCACUUGUGAAGAGUGGUGAGCAAAGGUCCGCCGCGUGAGGAGCGGCCGAUGCGAUACUAGAUAGUUGGUGGGGUAAUGGCCUACCAAGUCUAAGAUGUCUAGGGGGUGUGAGAGCAUGGCCCCCACCACUGGGACUGAGACACUGCCCAGACACCUACGGGUGGCUGCAGUCGAGAAUCUUUGGCAAUGGGCGCAAGCCUGACCAAGCGACGCUGCGUGCGGGAGUGAAGGCCCUUGGGUUGUAAA